rnacentral:tRNA from 1 species
GGGACUGUGGCUUAGUGGUAGAGUGCUUGCCUAGCAUGCAUCAAGCCCUGGUUCGAUUCCUCAGUACCA